ACUGUCAGACUAGGAGCUCGUCCAUUCCUGUUCGGCUGUUGACCCUGUGGAGUUUUCUGCUGCCUUUGCAAGAGUCACUACUGAGGAAUGGAGUACAAUGGCUCCCAAAGCAGGCAGCAGACUGCAACAAGGAAGGCUCUUGGUGCCCUCUGGAGGAAUUUUCAGUCAUUGCAGAAGCCCAGCCAGAAUGGAGAAUAUUUUGUUCAGCUCACUUAACAGAUCCAAUGAAAGCAGAAUCAUAGACUCAGGAGAAGAGGACAAAGAUACUCAGAGAGAAAAAGUAAAGGACAGAAGAAGGAGACUGGAGAGACCAGGAUCCUUCCAGCUGAACAAAGUCAGCCGCAAAACAGACUAGCCAGCAGGCUACAAUUGGAGUCAGAGUGCCAAAGACAUGGGCUUGUUAGAGUGCUGUGCUAGAUGUCUGGUAGGGGCCCCCUUUGCUUCCCUGGUGGCCACUGGAUUGUGUUUCUUUGGAGUGGCACUGUUCUGUGGAUGUGGACAUGAGGCUCUCACUGGUACAGAAAAGCUAAUUGAGACCUAUUUCUCCAAAAACUACCAGGACUAUGAGUAUCUCAUUAAUGUGUAAGUAUGUCCUCACCCCACCUCCAGACUCAUCUCAUUUUCCCUCCCCCUCCCCCUGUCUUGGAGGUACAAGCUCAUCCGUGUGGAGCUAAGCAGCAUUCCUGACAUAUCCCUCUGUGGACAGGUUCUACCAUGCCGUGUUGGAAACUAAGUAAAGGGACACUGUCAGAUUCAGAAAGGAGGCCUGCCUCUGCUCACUCCUCUUUAUUUUCUCAUAUAUGGCCUGAUUUCUGCUAGGUAUGCUUAAUGUUGCCUGAAUUGUCUCCACAAUGACAGGUAAAGGUCUAAUGACUGGGCAGAGUGGAAUCCCUGGUUUUGGUCUGACACUCUACUUAUGCGUACUCAGGCUUAGUAAUAAGUCUGUCCUGCUUGUGGAGCAAGUCAAGCUACUAUUCCUUCAUGUGUCUCUCACUUGUCUAUGGAGUAGCACAUCUGAAGGGUCAAACAAGGAGUGGCAAGCUUGGCUCUCUAAGAUGCAGGUAACAAGGAAUAUGGGGAGAAACUAUGCUCUUGGCCACCUACUGUCUGAUUUCAUUUACUUCAGUGUAGAAAAGGUGAAAGGACACAUGAAAUACCUAGUUAUUCCUCUCAAGAACCCCUAGCCACCCAAGUGUGUACCUCACUAACUGACAAGAAGAGUGGUGUCCUCUGAAUAAGGUUAUCUGGAUUUUCUGUCUGUCAAUGCAGGAUUCAUGCUUUCCAGUAUGUCAUCUAUGGAACUGCCUCUUUCUUCUUCCUUUAUGGGGCCCUCCUGCUGGCUGAGGGCUUCUACACCACUGGCGCUGUCAGGCAGAUCUUUGGCGACUACAAGACCACCAUCUGCGGCAAGGGCCUGAGCGCAACGGUAACAGGGGGCCAGAAGGGGAGGGGUUCCAGAGGCCAACAUCAAGCUCAUUCUUUGGAGCGGGUGUGUCAUUGUUUGGGAAAAUGGCUAGGACAUCCCGACAAGGUGAUCAUCCUCAGGAUUUUGUGGCAAUAACAAGGGGUGGGGGACAAUUGGGCGUGAGUCUGUAGCCUCAUCCACACCCAAGGUUGGGUCCUCUCCAGAGGCCUAGCUUUUGAGUGAGGAAGCGAUGGCUACAGCCGAACGAUAUGGUCAGGAAGAACGUGGUGCCUGGCCGGCUUAGCCUCACCUUUCAAAGGUUCCCUGGAAAUUUUCAUCUUAAACUGAAAAGCAUCAAUUUUGUAGGAUGCUUUGUACAAUAAGACCAUUUCUAACCAAUCUGUUGGUAUCCCUUAACUUUGUUCCUAGCAAGAAUGACAAGAGUGGACCAGACUAUACAAGAAUCUAAAAUGCUAGUCAUGGAAUUGAGACUUAAAUACAUAACCUCAAAUGGAGGGUGGAUCAUAGAAAUUAAAGAAUUGACUCCAAGUCCCUGUAUCUGGGAUUCUGUACUAUUAGGGGGUCCCAGAGAGACUUAGGCUAGAUCUGCAUAUUUCAUGCUUGUCUUUGGGCUAGCUGUGUUUUAGAAAGACAUACAUUGUUUUUCAGUCUCUAGACUUAAAGAUCUUUUGGGGUCUGAACAUGUGUGUGUUGUGGAGAUGACUUUUUUGACCAGCAGUUAGCUUAGAAUGGUUUUAGAUCUGAAAUUUAAAUCUCCUAUUGGCGCUGUUCAGUGACUGGGGAACAAAAAUCCUGUGGCAAAGAACAUCUUGUAAGCUCAGCCUAAGGCACAAAAUGGCACAACUUUCUUUCAGGACUUUUUUUCGUUUUUACUUUUUUACACCUUCUCUGCCCUCCAAAUCCCUGAAGCCCCCUCUAACCCAGGGAUCCGCCUCACUCCAACUCCCACCCAUUCCCCCUACCCUCCAUCACACUUGGGGCAAGUUAUCUAAGAGAUACUGCCAAUGACACUUCACAAAAGUGCCCUGCUCACUAAUUUCAUUUAAGGGAGAUGCCUGGAAUCUGACUUCAUUGGCAUGUGCCACUCCAGGAUCUUCCAGUUUUUGUUUCAAGGUCUGCAAGUUGAUGCUGAUUUUUAACCACUCCAUGUCAAUUGUUUUAGUUUGUGGGCAUCACCUAUGCCCUGACUGUUGUCUGGCUCCUGGUGUUUGCCUGCUCUGCUGUGCCUGUGUACAUUUACUUCAAUACCUGGACCACCUGUCAGUCUAUUGCCUUCCCUAGCAAGACCUCUGCCAGCAUAGGCAGUCUGUGCGCUGAUGCCAGAAUGUAUGGUGUUCUCCCAUGGAAUGCUUUCCCUGGCAAGGUUUGUGGCUCCAACCUUCUGUCCAUCUGCAAAACAGCCGAGUUCCAAAUGACCUUCCACCUGUUUAUUGCUGCAUUUGUGGGUGCUGCAGCCACACUAGUUUCCCUGCUCACCUUCAUGAUUGCUGCCACUUACAACUUCGCCGUCCUUAAACUCAUGGGCCGAGGCACCAAGUUCUGAUCUCCCAUAGAAAUUCCCCUUUGUCUAAUAGCGAGGCUCUAACCACACAGCCUACAGUGUUGUGUCUCCUGUCUUAACUCUGCCUUUGCCACUGAUUGGCCCUCUUCUUACUUGAUGAGUAUAACAAGAAAGGAGAGUCUUGCAGUGAUUAAUCUCUCUCUGUGGACUCUCCCUCUUAGUACCUCUUUUAGUCAUUUUGCUCCACAGCUGACUCCUGCUAGAAAUGGGGAGUACCUGAGAAGGUGAUCCCCCAGCUGCAAGUCGCAGAGGAAUGAAAGCUCGAAUUGAGUUUGCAAGCAUCUCCUGAAGACCAGGAUGUGCUUCCUUCUCAAAGGGCACUUCCAUUGAGGAAAACAGUGGAAAGAAAGAUUCUCAGGUAGAGAGCAGGAGUGUCCUUGGUCUCCUUGCCAUCAAUAGGAGUCAAAUAUAUUCUCUUUGAUGCACAAAACCAAGAGCUCACUCUUACCUAUUUCCACUGAAGACAGAAGAAAAUAAAAAGAAUGCUAGCAAAAGCAAUAGCAUUUGCCCAAAUCUGCCUCCUGCAGCUGGGAGAAGGGGGGGUCAAAGCAAGGAUCUUUCGCCCUUAGAAAGAGAGCUCUGACGCCAGUGGCAAUGGACUCUUCAAGCCCUAAUUCAGCCGACCUUCCUUCCUUACAGCAUUAGAGAGCACAGUGUCUGUUUAGACAAAGUGGGGGGUGGGGGGGAGGAAUCAUCUGUCCUUACAGCUCAUUAGGAAGAGAAACAGUGUUGUCAGGAUCGUCUCACUCCCUUCUCCUUGAUAACAGCUACCAUGACAACCUUGCUGUUUCCAAGGAGCUGAGAAUAGAAGGGAACUAGCUUAUACGAAAUAAGACUGUGACCUAGGAGCAUCAGUUGGUAGAUGCUAAAGGUGUAUUUUGGGUUGGCCCUCAGGUAGAUGAAGGAUACUUAACCCUUUGGAUAGCAUUUCUUCUCCUCCCCUCACCCCCCAUCAGUUAGUUGUGGCCUCUGGCCUCUGGCAUAAUAUCUUCACAAUGGUGCUCUUUUCCUGGAGUUUUAUCCAUUCACUCAUAGCAGGUGAUUAGAUGAUCUUGAUUAGUUUCAGAAUGAUUCGUGUUUCAUAUUUCCCAAUUGUUUAUCUCUUGUUUGGAGUUGUAUCAGAAAGAUCUGGAGAAUGAUUCUUUGAGCAUAGUUCUUUUUGAAAAAAAGAAACACUGGACAGUAAGCAUCACAAAAGUAUUUGAAAUUGUAUGGUCCCGUGAAAUUAUUGGGAUUUCCCUCCAAGUAUUCUACCAUUUGUAGAACUAGGCUUGGUAAAGUUGAACUUCAAUUUUAAUAACUUGUCCGAUAUCUUUUUUUCUAAUAAAUGACAGAUGAUUUCACUUGCUCA